UAUUUUUUUUAAAUUUAAAUUGUAUUUAAGAUUAGUAAAUAUAUUUCUUAAAAAAAGACAGUUUUCUUAAAUUUCAUCUUUUGGAACUAAUUAUACACAGAUGGAACUUGGCAUUUUCUCGUAUGGCUUGCAACGGGAUAUAAAUUAUGAAUACAAACACAAAGUAACAAUUUCAACUGUAUUUUUGUUUCUCCUCGGCCAACAUUCGUCGCAUAGAGAACGGCAAAAAUUCCACUGGGUCGACGGCACAAAUCUGAUCUGUGUAGUUUCACGGUUUGCUCAACCCAACAGCAGCAAUUAGAACAAAUUAGAGAUUGUUACGAAAUCAAGUAGAAUGUGGAGAUUCUGAUAAUUUCAGUAAUUGUAUAAUAAAUAAAUGAUUGGAGAAGUCUUGAUUUUUUUUAUUGGACUUGAUAAACAAUAUGUGUGCUAUGCAAACGUCUGUGCGGCUUAACGAGGUGCGAUACGGUCUCCAAGACAAAUGUAUGCGAAUAAAUAGAGAUGCAUCGGAUACUAUGACAGCAACAGCAUAUGGCGCAACAUUGCUCUCCAAGAGUCUCUGCCGUUCUUGACAAUGCUGACCUUAAUAAAACAACUUCUCAUAAAAGUGGAUAUUGAAGCCGUUUGACGUUCAAAAUAUGAUUUUGUUUAACGUAUGCCUGCGAUUUGUGCUGCACCUUAAUCGAUGGACAGCGGCGGUUAAAGUAGAUAGUACUAGUUAUGACAGUCUAAACAUCCAAACUAAACAAUGAAGCGCAACAACAGAACUGGAACUUGCCUACUGGGAAAAGGCAAA